rnacentral:rRNA from 1 species
CGCCCUACAGCUAGCCCACCCCAAACAAACAACACUCACUAUUAAUACCCCCUAAUACCCUACAAACCAGUAAACAAAACAUUUUUCCCCCUUAGAACGGGCGACGGAAAAG